UGUAAAGCUGGGCAAUGAAUAGCUACUAAGCAGGCCAAAAAUAACCAAAGAUAAUGUGCCUCAGUGCCCGCAACAUUUCAACUGUCCACAAUCAUGGAAGCACUGUUACGUUAACAAGCCUGUGGAGUUUUUCACACAGGUGCUCUGCUUUUCUUUGGCAGAGGUCAAUUCUCAUUGUGUGCUACAGAGUGAAUCAACAGAUGUUUCCUGAAAUGUUUCUUCCAACAACAAAUCGUUUUCAGAGGCUUUCCUGCCAUUUGGUCUGAACUAUGCUGGGAUUCUACCAGCCCGCUCCACCUGCAACAGAUUCUAUCUCCCGGUUUGUUUCUGUCUGCUCUUUCACACCACCAUGCUGGAAUCCUACCCCAUACUCUACUGGCAUUGAUCCAGCCUCCCCAGCAGGAGCCAUGGUCCUGGCUACCCAUUUCAUUUCACAGCCAUUGCUAGAUAUUGGAAAAAACCUAAGAAGGCUGAGGACAUUCCCUAAGCCUCUGUACAGGAAUUGGUGAAAAUGGCUUUUAAGGUUUUUAACACUGGAGAAGAGGCAGCUGAGUCUUCCUGGCACGCUCAGAUGCAACAGAAGGCUACGCUCCAUGCUCAUGCCUUGGCAGCUGACAAGAGGCCAUCGGAACCCCUGAAGAGGGAGCAAGGGAAGUCCACAAGGCUCCAUCCCACUGGGACCCAGCCAAAAUCAACUUCGCCAGGGGCUUGCUCCAAAUGGGGCUAGUAAGGCCGCUGGUCCCAAUGCUGCCCCAACCCUUAGCUGCCAACAAGGCCAUGCCCUGUCUGUUGGCAGCCUGGUCACUGAAGUUGGAAUGUGCUUAUGCGGGCUCAUCCUCUAUGCCACGCCAUGGAGGUCCAGCUCCACCAACACAGGCAUCUGAGACUCUUCCAGCCUUCAAGCUCUCCAGCCUGGUGGAGGACUGACAGUACCCAGACGCUGAGACUCCCAUCACCCUCGCAGAGCCGAGGGUGACACUCCAGGACCCUGCAACCAUCCUCUCGGCCCCUUCCUCAUCUGAUACCUCCUCCCACUCCUGCCCAGAAGCUGUGGGAGAGAGAUUUAUGCUGACCCCAGCCUGGUCUCCUACACCAACCCCUCACAGACCCCAAACUCAUCCUCUUUGUUGAUGGAAGCUCUCUUAUAGACAGAUCAGGAAACCGCCAGGAGGCUUGUGCAGUGAUCACUUCCAUUGAACCAACCUGCCUGCCAUUGGGGAUCUCUUCACAAAAUGCUGAAUUAAUUGCCUUGACUAGAGCACUCCAAAUAUCUAAGGGUCAACAGGCAGGCUAACAUCUACACUGACUUUAAAUAUGCCUUUUAAAAUAGCCCAUACCCAUUCUGGCUUUUUGAGGAAAGGGGCUUUCUCAUUACCAAGAGCAUUCCCAUUGUCAAUGGACUCCUUAUAGCCAAGCUCUUGGAGGCCCUCCAUUUCCCUGCAGUGGUAACCAUAAUCCACUGCUGGGGAUAUCAGUCCUCCAGGGUCCCAGUGGCCUUAGGCAAUGCCGGGGCUGACUCAGUAGCCUGGGGACUGGCCUCCAGCUCCUCUGGAUCUAUAGGACAUAUUUUGUUUUUGACACCUUCCUGUCAGCCUUGUUACCAACCAGAGGAGAGGAACAAACUCCUGAAUAAAGGGGUCACAUGGACAAAAGAUGGAAGGUUCAUCACCCCUUGCCUACAGGGUAUAUAAGCUCCCUGCUUUAGUUUGGCCAUGUGACUUCUCCAGCCCCAAUCUCUGGCA